rnacentral:pre_miRNA from 1 species
CGCGUCUCCAGGGCAACCGUGGCUUUCGAUUGUUACUGUGGGAACUGGAGGUAACAGUCUACAGCCAUGGUCGCCCCGCAGCAC